UACAGAGGGUGCAAGCGUUGUUCGGAAUUAUUGGGCGUAAAGCGCGUGUAGGCGGCAAUGCAAGUCGGGCGUGAAAUCCCACGGCUCAACCGUGGAAGUGCACUCGAAACUGCAUAGCUAGAGUCCUGGAGAGGAAGGUGGAAUGCUUGGUGUAGAGGUGAAAUUCGUAGAUAUCAAGCGGAACACCGGUGGCGAAGGCGGCAUCCUGGACCGAUAUUGACGCUGAUGCGCGAAAGCCAGGGGAGCAAACGGG
rnacentral:rRNA from 1 species